rnacentral:lncRNA from 1 species
CUGCAAUUUUAUGUGAAAAUGACGCAGGCAAUAUGUCAUUUUAUGAUUUGAGUAAGUCAUCUAAGGCUUCAUAAGAAAGUCAAUAAGUUAGUUUGAGAGAAACAGAAGCCAGCGUUUUACAAUUUAUACAAUCUUGGAAAAAAUUCCGAUACUGACAAAGGCAAAACAAGACAGAUGAAUUUAUCAAAACAAAAUAAAUCACACGAACUUCAGUGCACAUGAUGACU